AUUGAACGCUGGCGGCAUGCUUAACACAUGCAAGUCAAGGGGAUAGCAAUAUCACCGGCGGACGGGUGCGUAACGCGUACACAACGUGCCCAAGGGCGGAGGAAAGCGGCGGGAAACUGCCGGUAAUACUCCAUGGUGUUGUUGAGUGGCAUCACUUAACAACUAAAGUACAAGCGCCCUUGGAUCGGUGUGCGUUCGAUUAGCUAGUUGGCGGGGUAACGGCCCACCAAGGCUUCGAUCGAUAGGGGGUGUGAGAGCGUGGCCCCCCACACGGGUACUGAGACACGGACCCGACUCCUACGGGAGGCAGCAGUAAGGAAUAUUGGUCAAUGGACGGAAGUCUGAACCAGCCAUCCCGCGUGCAGGAUGACUGCCCUAUGGGUUGUAAACUGCUUUUAGCAGAGACGAAACGCCUUCAUUUAUGGGGGUCUGACGGUAUCUGCAGAAUAAGCACCGGCUAACUCCGUG
rnacentral:rRNA from 1 species